rnacentral:lncRNA from 1 species
GCCGAUGGCGGUGGACGCAGCAGGGCCCCGCGGUCUGAGUGCGGGCAGGCGCGCGUGGGCGUGUCUCCCUGGCCCACGCGUGUCCCCGGCAUCAGUGUCUCGGCUCUGGUCCAGGACGAAGACUUCUGAAAGCGAGCCAAGGAGAAUCACAGUUCUUAACGGAGCCCCUGACUGCCCGGUGGAAGGAGGUGAUUUAGAAGACAGUGAGUUGAUCUGGGGCAAAGUGAAGCAUCAGUAGCGCCUUCCAUCCCUUCACCUCACCUGGAUCUCUUCACUUCACUCCACGUCUGUCGUCUCCCAUGCAUGAAGCAACAUGGCCAAGUGAAGCUGCAACCAGUAAAGUCACAGGAUGUUUCUUGGCUUCAAACCAUUUGGAUAAGUGAUGGCAGCAAGCUUCGCCACUGUAAAGUCACCUCUUUGUAAGAAGACAGGAGCUCUUUGUAAAGAAUAUGAGACCUGAGGCUGGGGGAUGGCUGAGAAGGGAAAAGCACCUCUGCACAAGCGUGAGAAAAGGAGUUUGUUCUUCCACAUCCAUGUAGAAAUCUUGAUGCCGUGCCGUGAACCCCAGCUCUCCUACGGGAAGAUGGGAGGCGUAGACAGGAGUUCAUCUGGAAGCUUGAGGCCAGCCACCCAGAUCCUCAGAGCUGCAGACAAAAGAGAGGCCCUGCAGCAAAAGAGUGGAAGGUGAGAACCAACUCCGGAAAGUUGCCCUCUGACCUUUACAAGUGUAUACAUCCACACACAUACAAUAAAAUCAAUUGCUCAAUCACGUA